UACGUAGGUGGCAAGCGUUGUUCGGAAUUACUGGGCGUAAAGGGUGCGUAGGCGGCUUUCUAAGUCGGAUGUGAAAACUCUGGGCUCAACCCAGAGCCUGCAUCCGAAACUGGAGAGCUAGGGUUCUGGAGGGGAAAGCGGAAUUCCUGGUGUAGCGGUGAAAUGCGUAGAUAUCAGGAGGAACACCGGUGGCGAAGGCGGCUUUCUGGACAGAUACCGACGCUGAGGCACGAAAGCUAGGGGAGCAAACAGG
rnacentral:rRNA from 1 species